rnacentral:rRNA from 1 species
GAUCCUGGCUCAGGAUGAACGCUAGCGACAGGCUUAACACAUGCAAGUCGAGGGGCAGCGGGGAGUAGCAAUACUUCGCCGGCGACCGGCGCACGGGUGAGUAACACGUGUGCAACCAACCCCGUACCGGGAGAUAACCCGCGGAAACGUGGACUAACAUCCCAUAAGACUCUAGAGCCGCAUGGCUUUGGAUUAAAUUACGUCGGUGGACGGGCGACGCGCGACAUAGUAGUG